UUGCUGGGGGGAUUAGUGGCGAACGGGUGAGUAACACGUGAGUAACCUGCCCUUAACUCUGGGAUAAGCCUGGGAAACUGGGUCUAAUACCGGAUAUGACCUUCCAUCGCAUGGUGGUUGGUGGAAAGCUUUUUUGUGGUUUUGGAUGGACUCGCGGCCUAUCAGCUUGUUGGUGAGGUAAUGGCUUACCAAGGCGACGACGGGUAGCCGGCCUGAGAGGGUGACCGGCCACACUGGGACUGAGACACGGCCCAGACUCCUACGGGAGGCAGCAGUGGGGAAUAUUGCACAAUGGGCGCAAGCCUGAUGCAGCGACGCCGCGUGAGGGAUGACGGCCUUCGGGUUGUAAACCUCUUUCAGUAGGGAAGAAGCCGCAAGGUGACGGUACCUGCAGAAGAAGCGCCGGCUAACUACGUGCCAGCAGCCGCGGUAAUACGUAGGGCGCAAGCGUUAUCCGGAAUUAUUGGGCGUAAAGAGCUCGUAGGCGGUUUGUCGCGUCUGCCGUGAAAGUCCGGGGCUCAACUCCGGAUCUGCGGUGGGUACGGGCAGACUAGAGUGAUGUAGGGGAGACUGGAAUUCCUGGUGUAGCGGUGAAAUGCGCAGAUAUCAGGAGGAACACCGAUGGCGAAGGCAGGUCUCUGGGCAUUAACUGACGCUGAGGAGCGAAAGCAUGGGGAGCGAACAGGAUUAGAUACCCUGGUAGUCCAUGCCGUAAACGUUGGGCACUAGGUGUGGGGGACAUUCCACGUUUUCCGCGCCGUAGCUAACGCAUUAAGUGCCCCGCCUGGGGAGUACGGCCGCAAGGCUAAAACUCAAAGGAAUUGACGGGGGCCCGCACAAGCGGCGGAGCAUGCGGAUUAAUUCGAUGCAACGCGAAGAACCUUACCAAGGCUUGACAUGAACUAGUAAGGCGCAGAAAUGCGUCCCCCACUUUGUGGCUGGUUUACAGGUGGUGCAUGGUUGUCGUCAGCUCGUGUCGUGAGAUGUUGGGUUAAGUCCCGCAACGAGCGCAACCCUCGUUCUAUGUUGCCAGCGCGUGAUGGCGGGGACUCAUAGGAGACUGCCGGGGUCAACUCGGAGGAAGGUGGGGACGACGUCAAAUCAUCAUGCCCCUUAUGUCUUGGGCUUCACGCAUGCUACAAUGGCCGGUACAAAGGGUUGCGAUACUGUGAGGUGGAGCUAAUCCCAAAAAGCCGGUCUCAGUUCGGAUUGGGGUCUGCAACUCGACCCCAUGAAGUCGGAGUCGCUAGUAAUCGCAGAUCAGCAACGCUGCGGUGAAUACGUUCCCGGGCCUUGUACACACCGCCCGUCAAGUCACGAAAGUUGGUAACACCCGAAGCCGGUGGCC
rnacentral:rRNA from 1 species